GGAACAGUAUGGGACUGAGCAUGUAGCCUUGGCAGAGAGCUAUUCCACAGGCAGGGAAUGGACAUUGCGAAGGACGCGAGCCCUCCCUCCCGCCUAUGGUACCGGUACCGGUACCGGGCUGGCAGGGAAGAGACCCCGGAAGGGGGACGCAGGGCAGCGCCAGGGACAACGCAGCCGGUGUGUCCUGAUCUCCUCAGACAUGGAUGGCAGGGCCUGGGGCUCCAAGGCUCACUGGCUCCCACGUCUGGCGUUCAGUGCUGGCAGAGGCUGGGAUCUCGGUCACACCCACACAUGGCCUUUCUGCUCGAAUAUCAGGGAGUGUCUCAAAGUUACUCUGUGUCGAAGUGUCAUGCGGGAAAUGACCUCUGCGUGCAGC
ensembl:lncRNA